rnacentral:rRNA from 1 species
GACAGAGGGUGCAAACGUUGCUCGGAAUUACUGGGCGUAAAGCGCGUGUAGGCGGACUGACAAGUCGGAUGUGAAAUCCCUCGGCUCAACCGAGGAACUGCAUCCGAUACUGGCGGGCUUGAAUCCGGGAGAGGGAUGUGGAAUUCCAGGUGUAGCGGUGAAAUGCGUAGAUAUCUGGAGGAACACCGGUGGCGAAGGCGGCAUCCUGGACCGGUAUUGACGCUGAGGCGCGAAAGCUAGGGGAGCAAACGGG